rnacentral:rRNA from 1 species
AUUGAACGCUGGCGGUAUGCUUAACACAUGCAAGUCGAACGAGACGGGAUGGAAGGAGCCUUCGGGUGACGGAAAUCCUAGAAAGUGGCGAACGGGUGAGUAACGCGUGGGUAACCUGCCCUAUGGAAAGGAAUAGCCUCGGGAAACUGGGAGUAAUGCCUUAUAAUAUACAGAAGUCGCAUGGCUUUUGUAUUAAACGCUCCGGUGCCAUAGGAUGGACCCGCGUCCCAUUAGCUAGUUGGUGAGAUAACAGCCCACCAAGGCGACGAUGGGUAACCGGUCUGAGAGGGCGAACGGUCACACUGGAACUGAGACACGGUCCAGACUCCUACGGGAGGCAGCAGUGGGGAAUAUUGCGCAAUGGGGGCAACCCUGACGCAGCAAUACCGCGUGAGUGAAGAAGGUUUUCGGAUCGUAAAGCUCUGUUAUUGGGGAAGAAAAAAGACGGUACCCAAGAAGAAAGUCCCGGCUAACUACGUGCCAGCAGCCGCAGUAA